rnacentral:lncRNA from 1 species
UUCAGGUCAUCUGGGAGAACUUAAAUUCUUCCUUCUGCUAUUACAAUUCUUCUCACUCAGUUGCCUGCCUCUUUUUUUUUUUUAAUUUACUUGUGACUGAGUUGAAGCCCAGCAUUUUACUUUCCUUAAUGAUCUGACUUUCAUAAGUUGAUAAGUCAUGAAAUCAUUAUCUUACAUUAUAUGAGAUAUGAGAUAAAUCAUAAAUCAUAUGAAAUUGAUAACUCAUAUGAAAACCAACCCCACCAUAUGUUCACUGUCUACUUGUGUCCAUCUUCGUCCCACGCACCCCACAAGGACCUUCCCCGCCAUGUGCCUCAAACAUCAGUUCCUGACUCAGGGCCUUUGUAUUUGCAGUGCCCGUUGCAAAGAGCACAAUUCUUUAUUUUAUCUGUGGCUUGUCCGUCAUGUCUUUUUUUCCAUGACACCUCCACACAGGCCUUCCCUGCCUGCCUGGUUUAAAAUUCCAGCCCCUUACCCUUCCUCCUUUAUUCUUCUCCCUAGCAAUUUCCACCAUGCUGCCUGGUGUAUUUUCCUCAUUUCUCUGUGGCUUCUACACUAGAAAAUAUUUCCCUUUUGUUCACCACUAUGAGUCUAGACCCAUGACUGCCAUACAGCAGGCAUUCCAUAAAUGCACCUGUGGAGAGUUGACCCAUGCUUGUUGCGUGACUUCUGUCUGAUUUUUUUCUGUGUUGCAGCAUAAGAAGCGCUAAUAGGGAGAACCAACUUGGCUAAAACACACCAGGCUUUUUCACCUCUAGUCUGUACCUGGGCUGUAUCCCUUCUCAACCCUAAAGCUAAAAAGUCAUUGUGAACCUUUUGGUCUGAUGCUAAAGAAGGGAAAACAGGUACAGGAAAUCCCAUGUGGAUGCUUGCUUCCAGGAUUUCCUGCCAUGAUUCCAGAAUCCCACAGCUCCAACAUGAUUGCAAAAGACUCCCUGCUCAUUUUUCCUCAGCAUGCACAGCGCUGUCCUGUCUCAGUUGCAACUCGACAGAGCCGCAUUUACUCCAGAACCCAAUCCACACACCUGCUCAUCCUGCCCCGAGAGGAGUGCCUGAAGCCAAUAGCAGGGAACUAGAGCAGACUUGGGUGGAUCUUCAUUGGAUAUUAGGUAUCUUGCCCUAGAUAGGCAGCAGUGGCCUUACAGAUGCUGACAGAUGAUCUGAUUAGAUGCACAGUUGCUGGGUGGCGUCUGGGGCCAGUCUAUUGGCAGUUCUGGGAGUGGGAACUAUUUGGGCUCUGCAAAGAUGGUUUCACCUUUAAGAAGGGCAGUAUGGGGAGGUGAAGAUGGGGCCCAAAGGAUAGAACAUAGUCAAAGAAGCAGGGCCACAAUGCCCCUUUAAUUCCCAAGCCCUAGUUGGGCAGUGCUUGGUGACACAUCCCAUUACCUCACCUUAGAUCAAUGUCUACUGAGCCAUCAUUAGCUCUGCUUCCUCACUUCUUCACAGUAUCUGAUGGCCCAUCACAUGCUGCUCAACAUCUUAGACCAAUGUCUGCUCACCCAUUACCUCCCUUCACCUCAUCCAGCACUGUAUCUGAAGCUUCACUAUUCUUCCUUCAGUUUUGGAUAUUUUGUGAUACAACAUUAUCCCCAACUUAGGACAAUGUCAGCUGACUCUCAGGAGGGUGCCUGGAGAUCACCUCUUCCUUCCUAACAUACCCUAGAACAAGGUCUGGUCCCCUUCAUUAUUCCCAUUUUACCUUACUCCUAAGUGUAUCACUCCUCAUGAAUUCCAGGAAAUAUGGAGGAAAACACAUUUCACUGUACAUGACUUUCAAUAAUUUCUCCUUUAUAUUUAUUGUAACGUGAUAUUUUAGUGCUGACAUAUAUAUGUAUAUGUAUGCCCAUUUAUAUAAAAGACUAGUUUUUAGAGAAAUUUUAGGUUCACAGCAAAAUGGGGCAGAAGGUACAGAGAUUUCCCAUAUAUCCCCUACCCUCACAUAUACACAGCCUCCCCCAUCAUCAACAUCCCCCUUCAGAGUGGUACAUUUGUUACAAUUGAUGAAACUACAUUGACACUAUCGGCCAAAGUCCAUGGUUUAAUUAGGGUUCAGUCUUGAUGUGCAUUCUGUGGGUUGAGACAAAUGAAUAAUGACAUGUAUGCAUUAUUACAGAAGGAUAAAGAGCCGUUUCACUGUCCCAAUAAUCCUCUGUGUUUCGCCUACUCCUCUAAACUCCUGGCUAUUUUCUUUUGUCUCCAUAAUUUUGCCUCUGAACCAUAAAGUAUGCAGCCUUUUCAGAUUGAUUUGUUUCACUUAGUAAUGUGGAUUUAAGUUUCUUCCAUGUCUUUUCGUAGCUUGCUAGCUCUUUUUUUUUUUUUUUUCUCAUUGAAUAAUAUGCUAUUGUCUGGAAGUACCAUGACUUAUUUAUCCAUUCACCUACUGAAGGACACCUUAAUUGCUUCCAAGUUUUGUUGAUUAUGAAUAAAGAUGCUAUAAAC